UCCUACGGGAGGCAGCAGUGGGGAAUUUUGCACAAUGCCCGAAAGGGUGAUGCAGCAACGCCGCGUGAGGGAUGAAGGCUUUCGGGUCGUAAACCUCUUUCGAUCGGGAAAAAUGGGCGGGUGAAGAGCCCGUUCUGAUGGUACCGGAUGAAGAAGCCCCGGCCAACUACGUGCCAGCAGCCGCGGUAAUACGUAGGGGGCGAGCGUUGUUCGGAAUUACUGGGCGUAAAGGGCGUGUAGGCGGUGCGAUAAGUCGGACGUGAAAUCCCCGGGCUCAACUCGGGGCGGUCGUUCGAAACUGUCGCGCUUGAGUGUGGGAGAGGGAAGUGGAAUUCCCGGUGUAGCGGUGAAAUGCGUAGAUAUCGGGAAGAACACCGGUGGCGAAGGCGGCUUCCUGGUCCAUUACUGACGCUGAGGCGCGAAAGCUAGGGGAGCAAACAGGAUUAGAUACCCUGGUAGU
rnacentral:rRNA from 1 species